AAGGGUCUGGAAAGGAGCGCGAUACAGGUUGGCAGCCCCGUACACAAGAAUGCAAAUAUUGUGAGCUCGAUGAGUAGGGCGGGACACGUGGUAUCCUGUCUGAAUAUGGGGGGACCAUCCUCCAAGGCUAAAGACUCCUGACUGACCGAUAGUGAACCAGUACCGUGAGGGAAAGGCGAAAAGAACCCCGGCGAGGGGAGUGAAAAAGAACCUGAAACCGUGUACGUACAAGCAGGGGGAGCCUCUUAAUGGGGUGACUGCGUGCCUUUUGUAUAAUGGGUCAGCGAGUUAUAUUCUGUAGCAAGGUUAACCGAAUAGGAGAGCCGAAGGGAAACCGAGUCUUAACUGGGCGUUAAGUUGCGGGGUAUAGGCCCGAGACCCGGUGAUCUAGCCAUGGGCAAGUUGAAAGUUGGGUAACACUAACAGGAGGACCGAACCGGCUAAUGUUGAAAAAUUAACGGAUGGCUUGUGGC
rnacentral:rRNA from 1 species